GGUCGCGUGGCGAAAUGGCAUCGCGUCUGACUACGAUUAAUCAUCGUUCCUAAUCAGGAGAUCGCGGGUUCGACCCCCGUCGUGACCU
rfam:Trichosporon oleaginosus strain IBC0246 unplaced genomic scaffold CC85scaffold_45, whole genome shotgun sequence.